rnacentral:misc_RNA from 1 species
UAUCCGUAGGUGAACCCGCGGAAGGAUCAUUCAUAAUAAAGUGUUUUAUGGCACUUUUUAAAAAUCCAUAUCCACCCUGUGUGCAAUGUUAGAUCUCGUCAAUCUUGGCGAGAUUUUUAUACAUCAACUCAUUCUUUAACUAAAUUGUCUGAAAAAUAUUAUGAAUACUUAAUUCAAAAUACAACUUUCAACAACGGAUCUCUUGGCUCUC